rnacentral:lncRNA from 1 species
AGAAGUGCAGGGGUUUUGGUACUCCAGUACUUCAUAACACUACGUCCUUUCGUGUGCUGCAGAAAUCCGGAAAAUAUUUUGCACAACAUGCACAGACACUCCCACACAAAAAUAAAAAGUUCAAGAUCAUAAUUACUCAAGACACCUAAUUUUAUUAAAAAAGCAAUAUUGGAUAUAUGAGUGCACCAGCUGACACUGGGCAACAGUGCCAGAACUCUUCAGUUGCCACCAAGUUUGCUCACUAUGAUUUACUACUAAGCUCACGAGAAAACCUAAAUCAAGUCCCACAAACGAGCAUAACAUGGAGGUGUCCUUAGGAAAAAUAUUCUUCUCAUUAAAUGAAAUUCCUAUAUUUCCUAGAUAAGGAUAGUUUACUUAGUUAGAAACUUACGAGGACAAGAGACUCAGGAAGAGAAGGAGAACGAAUCUUCAGAAUUAGCAGGAAUUUCAUAUAGCUACAUAAUAGCUGACCAGGAGAGCAGAAACUGAUAAUAAUAUACAGCAGCAAUUACAACAAACGGUAGAAGCCUAUAAUAACAAAGCAAGGCAGAAAUUACAAAUAUCUCCAUCUCAAUAAACAUCUAUCUGACUUUCGAUUCUGAGUGUGACUCUAAAGUGAAGGGCAUCUGUAUAGUUUGCUAUAUUUGUUUUUGUUAUAGACCCAUAAUCCUAGAUGCUGGGACCAGCAGCAGUUGUACCUUGCAGAUCAGACAAAGAGAAAGACCGCCAGGGGCAAACUUCUCACUAAGCGGUGGAGAUGACAUGGUAUCCACCAGGUGAUGACGACUUUGAGAUAGAAAUUUCACAGUUAUUGCUCUCAGAAUGGCUUGUGGUUUCUGCCUGAGUUAAUGCAUUUCUAGAGUUGGCAGGACUUUUUGAUAUCCUGCCAUUGUUACUUCUUAAAGUAAUAUCACAAUUCUUGUCCCAAAAGUUAUUGAAGGCAAGCAAAUUUUUUCGCUUCCUGGUGUAUGCAUCAUCAGGCUUACCAAUAUCUUUAAUGGACGAGAAAGACAAGGCAUCCGAAAGGCUGGUAAAAAAUUUGGAUUUUUCACACUAGAACUUAGAU